rnacentral:lncRNA from 1 species
UUUUUUUUUUUUUUUUUUUUUUUUUUUUUGUGGUGAUGCUAACUGUGAGCCUUGCUUAGUUUUUCUAAUUUGCCGCGGGGCUUUUUGGAGGUUGAAAUAAAAGCUAAAUCUUCUGUUCGUCAUGUCUAGUCCUAAGGUAGUAGAUUACCUAAAGACAGUGUAGUUACCUUCAUUUUCACUUUGCAGUUAAGCAGUGAGAAGCUUUUCCCUUCUGAACCGCAAGAAGCAGACAGAGAUCCUGUGGGUAUCAGUGCUCCUCCAGUGGUAAGAGCCAGAUGUCCAGUUGAGGCGAAACAAAUUGCCUGGGUUGCUCCUUCCGCAGCUCGGCUGCUUUCUGAAUUGUGCUGGCCAACUGUGGUGGCCACUUUCAUCUUCAGAUUCAUCUAGGAGCCAGUCUUUCUCACUAGCUUAAGGAAGAGCGUGCUCUGGCCAGCCUGGGUCUCUCGCCCAGCGUUCGAGGGAGCUGGAUGCCCUGUUUUGUAGUCCUGUCAUGAUGCAGUAAGGAGAAGGUGCUUCCCACUAGAAGAAGGGGCGCCGGGCAGACAGAUCAUAUGUAUGCUUUUUAAGGGCGUCGGGUCAUUUUUUUGGCCCACUUUUAUGAAAUUAAACCAAAAGUAAUGAAUAGGAGAUUAAUAUCUGGAGUUUUGGCAGAAAAAAAAUCGCACUCAUUGUCUGAUUAAUUUUAACUCUAAAUGAGCCUUUACUUGUAGUUCUUUCUUAUCUAAACAUGCUCAUUUAAGCUAAAACGUUUCACAUACUUCUUCCUGCUGCCCAUGGAAGUGAGGGGAAGACCUGCCUUCCAGCGUGACCGACCGUCAGGCCUGAUUUUAUAUACUUCUCUUGAGUUCCCGUCGUGGCACAGCAGAAACGCAUCCGACUAGGAACCAUGAGGUUGCCGGUUCAAUCCCUGGCCUUGCCCUGUGGGUUAAGGAUCCGGCGUUGCUAUGGCUGUGGUGUAUGCCAGCAGCUCCAGGUCCAAUUCGACCCCUAGCCUGGAAACCUCCAUAUGCUUCGGGUGCGGCCCUAAAAAGACAACAAAUAAAAUACAUACUUCUUUUGAGAGUUCUUUUAUGUAGUUUCUUUAGCUCUCUGAGACGGGGGGGGGGGGGGGGGGGUGUAUCCAACUCUCUUGAAGUUCCUGCCUCCCUACAGAUUGCUGAAACCCAUUUUUGUGAUUAGAUUCUUUCUUUCAUUUACUUGGACUCUCAAGCUCUGUCAUUGUCCAUAUGUUGUAUGAUUCAUCUCUGAAGCAAUUUUUUCCCCCUUGAAUUUCAGGCUAGUUUCCCAGUUCCUUUUCAUGACACUGAGUAUGUGGUGAUGGGGACAGUGCUGUUGAUGUGGUUGCGAUUUUCCUGCUCAAAAAGGAAAAUACUUUUUAUCACGGAGUGCUUCUAAUCUAAACUCAAUAGAUAGAUAUAGGUGAUACAUAAAUACCAUCAUGAAGCUGAACAAAUAACUUUGAAUACUGUGUGGUUCUUGUGUUGCUUCCAGUACCUGUCAGGAUAUAUUUUUAGUGUGAAAAUUAAGUGUUGAAAUAACUUCUGGUUUUGGACUGUCUGUAAAAAUGUAUUCUUUAUAGAGUGAGAACAGGCAUUUAAAGGGCAUCUGAUAGAAUCCUCCAGCCUUAACUGAGAUCCCCCCAGAACUACCUCGCCACUUCCUGCUGCUUAAACACAUGUAGUGAUGUUGUGGAAAUGUGUUGUUUUGGAUGUUUUAAUUUAAAAAUCCAUCCUUGUUUUGAACUGAAGUCUGCUAUCUUGUGAUCUUAUCCCCCUUUGCUCUGGAGAAGCACUUAGCACACAGAUGAGUUUUUGAGCUCUUGUUAAACAGUGCAUCUCUUGACAGAAUUAAGAAUGGUCAUCUUUAGGAGUUCCCACCGUGGCAUGGUGGAAACGAAUCCGACUGGGAACCAUGACGUUGCAGGUUCAAUCCCUGGCCCUGAUCAGUGGGUUGAGGAUCCAGGCUAGGAGUCUAAUUGGAGCUGUAGCCGCCGGCCUGCACCACAGCUCACAGCAAUGCCAGAUCGUUAACCCACUGAGUGAGGCCAGGGAUCGAACCCGCAACCUAACGGUUCCUAGUCGGAUUCGUUUCUGCCCUGCCAUGACGGAACUCCUGAAAUUAUCUUUGAUGAAGGACUGUUUUUAAAAAUUCUCUAUGCAUAGCAGACUGAUACUUUUAUAAAGUACAAUAAAAAUAAAUUAGUAGAAAAAUGAAAUUUUAGUAGAAAACAAGCUCAUUUUAAAAAUUAAAGUGAACAGACAUAAAAAUACUGUCAGGUUCCUCUGUAAGUUUCUGAAUGUGUGGUCUCAAAUUUAUUCUUUCCUGUUCAUGAGCUGCUUGUGCUUUGAGUACCUCUCCUGUGGAGGAGUAACUUCUUUUCUUUUUUUUUGGCUUUAGGGCUGCACCCGCGGCAUAUGGAGGUUCCCAGGCUAGGGGUUCAAUCAGAGCUGUAGCUGUGGGCCUACACCACAGCAACGUGGGAUCUGAGCCGUGUCUACAACCUACACCACAGCUCACAGCAAUGCCAGAUCCUUAACUCACUGAGCCAGGCCAGGGAUUGAACCCGCAACCUCGUGGGUGCUAGUCGAGUUCAUUAACCGCUGAGCCAUGAUGGGAACUCCCCAAGUAAUUUCUUUUUGAUCAUAUACCCCAUCAGUUCAGAAUUCUAGAAACUGCCAUGUGUUGCUUGCAUUUAAAUCGUAUGCAUGUACUUCUGUGCAGUUAUACAAUGUGCACUAUAAAUUAGAAAAUAACUAAAGAUUGUAUAUGCUAUUUUAAAUUUUUAAAAUUUAUUAUUAAUAGUAAAAUAGUUCACUAAAAUAUUGUUUAGUGAAAGCAGUGUAGUUGAAAAUGCUUUAAAACUUUUGAAAGCCUUGGUUCAUUCAUAAAACAAAUAAUUAGUGUAUUAAACCCAUGGCAUUAUACAAUUAAAAUAUAUACAAUUAACAUUUGUCAAUUAUACUUUAAUAAAGCUGGAAAAUUAAAUAAAAAAUAAUCUAAGCCCUCUUCAGGUGAUACUAGACCAUGAUAAAUACAAAAAUCCUUGCACACAUGGAAUCUUCUUUCUAGUGGAGGUUAACAUUUUGUGAUAUGGUCAUUGAACUCUGGUUUUAGGGUUGAGCUUGUUUUAUAUUUGUUUUGGUUGCUGUCGUUGUUGAAAUAAAUGCCUUCCUUCCAAGGUAUACAGAUAAAAAUGGGAUAAUUAUGGUAUUUGUGUUUCCUUAAUAAUGGUCUUCAGUUUUCAAUAUUAUCUAACAAUUCUGGACAGGUUUGUAUUGAAAUUUGUCUGCUCAUUUUCUUUUUCCCUGAUGUUGAUCAUUUCUUGCACACUCAUCAGAAUGUGUUGUUUUGUUUUGGUUUGGGUUUUUUUGUUUUUUAGGGCCACACCCACGGCAUAUGGAGGUUCCCAUGCUAGGGGUCUAAUUGGAGCUGUAGCUGCCAGCCUACACCACAGUUACAGCAAUGCAGGAUCCGAGCCACGUCUGUGACCUAACCAGAGCUCAUGGCAAUGCCAGAUCCUUAACCCACUGAGAAAGGCCAGGGAUUGAACCUCUGUCCUCAUGGAUGGUAGUCAGAUUCGUUAACCACUGAGCCACAACAGGAACUCCCACGCAUGUGUGUAUUUUUAAUACAUUUUUUCAAAACCUAGUGAAACUGUGGAUUUAAACAGGUUAGGAAUUAUUAAUUUUCAAGGUGAUGUUCAGGUGAGAUUAUCUUUUUAAAGUGGGUUCGUUUACAUUUGUAACUGUAAAAGCUUGCCAACUCGCCGUGUAUCUGUUCACUAAUAGAUUACUUUAGUCUUACUGUCCUAAUUACUUUAGCUUUUAUAAGUCUUCCUGGGCAAUAGACUAGGAGUCCGCAAACAUGUUCUUCCUCUUCUUGAAGUAUAGCUGCAUUACAAUGUUGUGCUCUACAGCGCAGUGAUUUAUUUGUACAUAUGUAUUUUUAUAUUCAAUUAUGGUUCAUCACAAGACAUGGAAUAUAGUUCCGUGUGCCAUACAGUAGGACCUCGUUGUUUAUCCAUCCUCUCUGUAAUAGUUUGCAUCUCCCAAUCCUCCCCUCCCCAGCUUCUCCUCCUUGGUAACCACAAGUCUAUUCUCUGUAUCUGUCUGUCUUUGUUUCCUAGAUAUGUUGAUUUGUUGCAGUUAAGAUUCCACAUAUAAGUGAUAGCAUAUGGAUUUGUCUUUCUCUUUCUGAGUUACUUUGCUUAGUAUGAUAAUCUAGGUCUAUCCAUGUGCUGCUGCAAAUGGCGUUAUUCUUUUUUAUGGCUGAGUAAUAGUCCAUUGUGUGUAUAUUCACACACACACACACACACACACACAUCUUUAUCCAUUCAUCUGUUGAUGGACAUUUAGGUUGCCUCCAUGUCUUGGCUAUCCUAAGUAGUGCUGCAUUGAACUUUGGGUGCAUGUAUCUUUUCAAAUUACGGUUUUCUCUGGAUAUAUGCCCUGGAGUGGGAUUGCUGGGUCAUAUGUUUCUUAAUAUGAAACUCCAUUCUGAUCUUCGUAGUGGUUCUACCAGUUUACAUUGCCGCCCACAGUGGAGGAGGGUUCCCUUUUCUCCACACCUUCCCCAGCGUUUGUUAUUUGUAGACUUAGUAAUCAUGGCCAUACCAACCAGUGUGAGGUGGUCCUUCACUGUAGUCUUGAUUUGCCUCUCACUAAUUAGAGAUAGAGAGCAUUUUUUUCCGUGUACCUCCUAUCCAUAUGUAUAUCUUCUUUGAAGAAAUGUGUAUUUUUUGAUUGGGUUGUUUUUUUGUUGUUGAAUUGUAUGAGAAGUUUGUAUAUUUUGGAAGUUAAGCCCUUGUGGGUAGCACUAUUUGCAACUAUUUCUCCCAGUCUGUAAGUCGUCUUUUUGUUUUGCUUAUGGGGUUUACUUUACUGUGCAAAAGCAUGUAAAUUUGAUUAGGUCCCAUUUGUUUGUCUUUGUUUUUAUUUUUUUUGCCUUGGGAGACUGACCUAAGAAAACGUCGGUACAAUUUAUGUCAGAAUGUUUUGCCUGUGUUUUUUUGUAGGAGUUUUACGGUGCUCUGUCUUACAUUUAAGUCUUUAAGCCAUAUUGAGUUAAAUUUAUGUAUGGUGUGAGAUGUGUUCAGACUUCAUUGAUUUGCAUGCAAUUGUCAGCAAACUUCUUUUUUUCUUUUUAGGGCUGCAUCUGCAGCAUAUGCAAGUUCCCAGGCCAGGGGUCAAAUCAGAACUGCAGCAGGGGCUUAUGCCACUGGCAACACUGAAUCUGCAACCUGCACCACAGCUUGUGGCAAUGCCCGAUCCUUAACCCAUUGAAUGAGGCCGAGGAUUGAACCUGCAUCCUCACAGAGACCACAUCGGGUCCUUAACUUCUUGAGCCACAACAGGAACUCCAGCAACCAUGUUCUUAAAGGGCCAGAUAUGAAAUGUUGUAGGCUUUGCAGGCCGGAUGGUCUCUGCACACUACUCACCUCAACUACUGUAGAUAGGAAGUAGCUGUAGACAGUACAUGAACAAUGUAGAGUGACUAUGUCCCAGGAAAACUUUAUUUACAAAAAGAGGCACAUUGCUGUGAACCUGAAACUGGUCUGAGAAAAUAAAGUCUGCUGAAAGGAAAGCCCAGAGUUCCCAUCGUGGCUCAGCAGUAACAAACCAGACUAGUAUCCCUGAGGCUGUGGCUGCAAUCUCUGGCCUCGAUCAGUGGGUUAAGGAUCCAGCGUUGCCAUGGUGUAGAUUGAAGAUGCGGCUCAGAUCUUGUGUUGCUGUGGCUGUGGUGUAGGCCAGCAGCUGCAGCUCCGAUUCUAUGCCCUAAAAAAGAAAGGAAGGAAGGAAGAAAUGAAGGAAGAAGGAAGAAAGAAACGAAGACAGAAGCAACAGCAUCAUUUUUGUAUUCUUCUCGACAGUGAUGUAUAACCUAAAUCCGAUCAUCAGACAGAACUUAAUUAAGGGACAUUCUGCAAGAUAAUUGGCCAGUAAACUUCAGAAUUAUCAAGUUCAUAAGGACAAAGAAAGCAUGAAAAUUAUUCUAGGUUGAAGGAGACCAAAGAGAUAUGACAACUAAAUGCAACAUGUGGUUCUAACUAGUCAGAAUCUUGAACAAGUCUGAACAUUCUGUGGUAGAAAUGUGUUAUCACCUAUUUCCCAAUGGUGAUGGCUGCAUUAUUUGUUGUAGGAGAUUGUCCUUGUUGGAAAUAAACACAAAGGUGUCUGGGUGAGAUGGAGCAUCACUGUCAGCAGCUUACUCUCAAAGGACACAGGGGAAAAAUGGUUUUGUAUUGUACUUGCAACUUAUUCUAUAAGUUUGAGACAUUGUUUCAGCAUUCUUAAAACAUGUAUCAUUAACAGCAAGUAAAUUUGUUGCAGAAAAACAAAAACAGGCAGCCUAGUUUGACAACCCCCUACAUACUUUGAUGCUCUCCUGGAUAUUCUUGUUGUUACUGUUUCCAUACAAAUUUUAAAAUUAAUUUAUCAAUUUCCACCAAAAAAAAAAAAAA